rnacentral:rRNA from 1 species
CAGCCGUAAACUAUGCGCGUUAGGUGUAUCGGUGACCACGAGUUACCGAGGUGCCGAAGGGAAACCGUGAAACGUGCCGCCUGGGAAGUACGGUCGCAAGGCUGAAACUUAAAGGAAUUGGCGGGGGAGCACCACAACAGGUGGAGCCUGCGGUUUAAUUGGACUCAACGCCGGGAAGCUCACCGGAUAGGACAGCGGAAUGAUUGCCGGGCUGAAGACUCUGCAUGACUAGCUGAGAGGAGGUGCAUGGCGUAGACGUCU